AGACAUCAUAAAUGAGAAUUUGAGCGUAAGAUUACUAAUAUCAAACAUCUUGAAAGGGAAAAUUGUAAGCUUGUGGAAGUAUAAAUACAACAUAAAACGACUUAAACCUACCAAGUCUAAAUGAAUAUGACAUGACUGCAUUCUCUAAGUGCUCAUCAAUCACUCAAUUGGAUGCAGAGAUGUCUUCAAUUUAUAUUAGCACAUUAAAUUUACUCAUUUUUCCGUGCUCAACUGGUCGUGAAAUUCACAUACAAGGCCGGCAUCAAGAGAAAUCUAUGCUGCCCUUCCCUGAUCGAAAUUAAUUAAUUUGAGAUCAAAUCAUAAUAAACAAUUCGGUAAACUCACAUUAAAGAUACAAGUGUUCCAGUAUCUAAUCAUGUGUGCUAACGUAGAUACUAGAAGAUAAGAGGAAUCCUAGAUCAUUAUUUUCCAGCACUGAUAAUGUGUCCAACAUAGGUUUGUGAUUGGCAACCCUGCCAACGACACCACCUCCUACCAGUCAAGAUAACGACACCACCUCUUACCACAGAAAGAUGCCCUAUAGAUAAUAGAGGAGAUGGGCAUGAUUUGGGAUGCAAUGAACCCACAAAUGGAUUGCUCCCACUGUCUGUAAGGUGACGAGUGGAAGUGGGCCUUCUAGACAUUGUUUUGCUAUUAUGAUGAGCCUGCUAGAUAUGAAAUUGAUGCAGUAGAAAAUAAGACACAUUUCCAAAGCACAAAAUAAAUAAAUAAAUAAAUAAAUAAUAAUAAUAAUAAUAAUAAUAAUAAUAAUAAUAAUAAUAAUAAUAAUAAUAAUAAAAGACGUUCCAUUUAUCACAUACAAGACACCAUUCAAUGAAAAAUCACAUCUCAUUCAUCACUUGCAAACAAAGGUCACUUAUGUGGACACAUAGCAUCAUCAUGCCAUUAAACAUUCCAAAAAAUAGAGUAAUUAGUUUACUAUAAGCUAAGUCAUGCAACAUGAUUCAAGUUGGCAAUCCUCAUACCAAGGGACCUUAGCCCUCUAAUGAAUUAUUAGCACUAUAUUACACCGACUUUACCAAUUGAAAUAAAAGACAUUCCUGAUCAUUUAGUGAUGUGAAUUACAUCAUCCUAACAUGCAAGGCUGCCAUGAGUUGAUUGCUGUGGACACACGUUAAUUUCACAAUUUGAAUUAUCACUUGGCUAACAUUAAAAAUAAACUUUAAAAAGAAGCAGAAUUUUAAACAAGUUAUGCCAAAUCACAGCACGGCAUUCCAAAUCACAUAUAUGUGUUAUCCAUCUAUCUUGAAAUAUCCUUCUAUCAAUAUACCAUAUGUGACGAGAUUAGCCUUCAAGUUCUUUUGUAGCAUCUUGCAUAGUAAGUCUAAUGCUAUAUCCAUGUUCCCUUUCCUACAGUUUCCAAGAAUCAAGCUUAUCGAACAAUUCUAAAGCACUGUUUAAAUCUCCUAGCUGACAGUACCCUUUCAUCAAGCUUGUAGCAACAACCAAAUUGAUCGUAUAUCCCCUACUUAUCAUCUCAUCCUUAAGCUUUAACGCCUCAGUUAUUCCUCUGCUUCACACAUGUAAUAAUCACAUUUGUAAUUGUACCCUCAGAAGGAACCCAAUCCAUCUUCUUCAUCUCAUUCAACAAAUCACAUGCAACGAAGAGGGGAGGGCCUGGAGGAGCCAAGUACAACAUAUAAAGAAGAAAAGCCUAGCUUCAUUUGGGCAUAUAGAAAAUAGACGGAAAACAAAACCAGCCUAGAGGAGCAUUACAAGGUUUGUGCUUUCAUUAGGAGUAAUUCCGGGAUCUGUUAGGAACUUAUUAUCUAAAGUUGUUCGGCUUUGGUCCAUGAAUAUCAAUGAUGAGCUUAUUAUUGACUCAAUCACUGACUUGCGACUAAUCUGGUAUCCAAGUACUAACUUGUAUAUAUAAAUCAGAAAUCAACGCAAUGCAUCAUAUAUUCCAAUACUUCCAUUUUCCCUGUAUAACGCCACCACGUGAUUAGACUUACCAAUUAGGACCCUGGCAAAUGACAAACUGGAUGUCGAUUCAGAAGUUACAUAUGUAUCAUUUAAUGAUAAAUAUAGCACGAUAAAAUCAGGCUUAUCAUUGACAUGUGAUCUAAUAAAACCACAACAACAUUUGCCAUCUAUACGCCCAAGACGUGAGUAAAAUUUCCAAUAUUUAACAUCAAUACUAUCCAAAGAAUGGAAUAUGUGCAAUCAUAAUUUGAAUACUGAUCACCAACAUUCACGUUUACCUAUCACAAAUAAAUAAUGAAGAAAAUGAAACUAAAAAGAAAAUAAGCGGGGAUGGGCUGACAAACUUACAAGAGCACGGGGAUUAUUUGGGUAUUUGGAGAGAAGACUCGCGGAGUGCUUGAGGGCGUUCUUGAACUAGUGAGAAUCGAUGGCAUCCCAAAUGGGUCGGACCCGCCGUCCCGGAAUGCCACCCGCUAACCCGAAUUUGGAUGCCAUUUAAGAAAAAUAGUUCUUAAGAAUUCUGAUCGCUUAACGGGUGCAAUUAACGGAACAGGGAAAAUAAAAAUAAAUAUAGUGCUGGGUUGGGAAUUUGGAGACGCGCAGGUGAAGGGGCUCUGCCUCCUAUCCAAAGAUUGAAGAAGAGGAAGAGGAAGAAGAAAGAGGAGAAAGGGGCCAAGAUUUCAUUUUGUCUCCGUAUUUAGGUUGGGGGUAAUGGAAGAAAGGUCGUUUCCCAUGUUUUGGAUUUGCAGCGUUUUUUUGCCUCAAAACACUCAAAACGUCUGUUUUGACGUUUUGAGUUUCCUUCACAUUUUUUUUUGUUUUCAAAAAUUCUUUUUCGAAAAUGAAAAAGAGAAGGCGUUUUCACCGUUUUGAAAAAUUAAAAACAGAAAACGGCCCGAAAAUAAUAAAGAGAAUAGGGCCUAAAUGUUUGACCAAAUUAUAUACACAUGUGAUAAUAAAUGUCCGACAAUUGUACGGUUUCCUUAAUGUAAACAAUAGAUCGGUCCAAAGAUAGGUUUAUUAUUUGACAUAGUUUAUUAUCAAUAUUUGGUUAUUACGCCAAGAGCACCACUUAGAAGUUGGUAUUUCUGGCCAAAGACUUAAUGUCAAUAUUGUGCUAGGUAUCUUGUGGUGGGGAGUUCACCAUUAUUUGAAUUUAUUAAUUGCUUAAUACGGAUUUUAACGUGGACACAUUUCUUUGAUUUUAUUCUCUAUUCAGUUAACUCUUCAUCUUCUACAAUAUUUGCCAACAUCAACUCAUUCCUGUGCUGAAUGGAACCAACUUUAAAGACUAAAAGGAGAAUGUUUAGAUUGUUCCUGGUAGCAUGGACUUAAACCUUGCGUUAAGGACUGAACAACCCGCUGCAUUUAUAGAUAAAAAUUUCGCUAAUAAAAAGGGGAGACUUUGAUAAGUGGGCUCGUUCAAACUGCAUGAGUCUUAUGAUUGUGAAAUGUUGUGUUUCAGAAUCAUUCGGGGGUACUGUGUCUGAUAAGGUAACCACUAUCAAGGAAUUUCUUGAUAAAAUUAAAAAACACUUUACAAAAAGUGAUAAGGCCGAAGCUAGUGUGUUUUUGAUGAACUUAGUUUCACUAAGGUAUAAAGGUAAAGAAAAUAAUCGGAAGUACAUAAUGGAGGUGUCUCAUAUUACUUCAAAAUUGGAGGUACUAAAGUUUGAACUAUUUGAUGAUUUGCUCGUGCAUUUGGUUUUGAUUUCUCUUCCUGACAAUACAAUCAAUUCAAGGUCAGUUACAACUGUUAAAAAGAAAAGUGAAAUCUAAAUGAGAUGAUUUCAUACAAUGUGCAGGAAGAAUAAAAGUUGAAGCAAGACAGGACUAAAGUGUUCACUUGGCUAAUAUCUCUAACGACAAGUUCAAGAAAAUAAAGAAUAAAGAAGUUCUACUCGGUCCAGCUCAAAAGAAAUAGCAAAAGCCUGAAAAUGAUGAAUCAUCAAACUGUUACUUUUUUGGAAUCCUGGAACACUUGGAAAGGGAUUGUACCAAAUACCACGCUUGACGUGUAAUGAAAGGUACGUUUCUCACUUUGGUUUGUUUUGAGGUUAAUUUAGUUUCCGUACUUGACAUACUUGGUGGACUGAUUCCAAUGCCACUACUCAUAUAAAUGUGUAUAUACAGGGUCGCUAAACAGCCAAAAGCUAAAUAAUGCCAAAAGAUUCAUCUCUGUGGACAACACAAGUCAGUUGAGGUUGAGGCUAUAGGGACUUUUAGAUUAUUAUUAAAGAAUGGUAUUUAUUUUGAUUUGAAAGAGACUUUUGUGGUACCGUCUUUUAGAUGAAAUUUUGUUCUAUUUAUGUAUUAAACAAAUUCAAUUAUUUUUGUUCAUCUGGAAAUCCUAAAGUUAGUCUUUUUCUUGAUUCAAAUCUUGUCGGUACCCUUUUUUUUUAUCUAAAUAUAAUAAUCUAUACUUGUCUAAUUCGGUUGCCUCUUAUUUUAAACCUUGCAUGUGAAUUCAAGAGGUAUUAAACAUAAAAUUAACCAAUGAGAAUUCUGCUUCAUUAUGGCACAAGCGUUUAGAUCACAUUUCUCGAAAGAGAAUUGAAAAGCUUGUAUCAGAAGGAAUUCUUGAUCCCCUUGAUUUUUUAGACUCAAGUUAUUAAGGGGAAACAAACAAACAUAAAGAGAUUAGGUGCUAAUAGAACUUUGAACAUCUUAGAACUAAUUCAUAUGAAUAUAUAUGGGCCAUUCACUUCAGCUUUUUGGAAUAGUCAACGAUCAUUUAUUACGUUCAUAGAUGAUUAUUCUUGCUAUGACUACCUAUAUCUCAUUUCAUGAGGCAUCCUAUACAUGUUAAACACUCAUAAGGCUAAAGUUGAAAAUCAACUCAGCGAAAGACUAAAACACGUUAGAUCUAAUCGUGGUGGAGAAUACUUGAUGGGAG
rnacentral:lncRNA from 1 species